rnacentral:rRNA from 1 species
UAGGGAAUCUUCCGCAAUGGACGCAAGUCUGACGGAGCAACGCCGCGUGAGUGAAGAAGGAUUUCGGUUCGUAAAACUCUGUUGUUAGAGAAGAACAGCGCAUAGAGUAACUGUUAUGCGUGUGACGGUAUCUAACCAGAAAGCCACGGCUAACUACGUGCCAGCAGCCGCGGUAAUACGUAGGUGGCAAGCGUUGUCCGGACUUAUUGGGCGUAAAGCGAGCGCAGGCGGUAAAUUAAGUCUGAUGUGAAAGCCCCCGGCUCAACCGGGGAGGGUUAUUGGAAACUUGUUGAGUUGAUUGCAGAAGAGGAGAGUGGAAUUCGAGGUGUAGCGGUGAAAUGCGUAGAUAUAUAGAGGAACAACAGUGGCGAAGGCGACUGUCUGGUCUGUAACUGCCGCUGCGGUUAGAAAGCGUGGGUAGCAAACAGG